UCGGCUUCCCGCUCUUGCCUCACUCUCAGCGGCUGCCUUCGCCCCUGUCUGCAGACAGCGCCGCUGGAUGCUCCCAGCUGGACUUCAACCCCACUCCUCUCAGUCCCUCUCCCCACUGCCUUCCAGACGCGCCUCUUCCCCGCCCCGCGCCCCUCUCUCCUCUCCCACCCCUGCCCCUCUCCGCGGCGCUCACCCUCCUCAGUCCCAGUUUCUGAAAGGACUCAGCUGAGAAAGGACAACUGGGUUCCGCUUUCCUUAACCCUACACCCUUUAGCUGGAUGCUGUCAGAGGCGAUGGAGAAACGCAAAGGCUACUAGACGCAACAAUAGAAUUACCAUAUUGUUUUUCCUGGUUUGAAAGGACCAGAUGGAAAGAAACUGGGCAAGCCAAUGAAAGUCUCUGGGGAUCAUGGGAAUUGAGUGUCUAUGAAAACCAUAUUCCAGACAAGAAUAUAGUCUAAGAUUUUCUGCCACCUUGGCCACCCCCCUGAGACAUCAAGAACAACUCUUUCUCUUCCUCCCCUUCUCAGCUUAUUCAACCUGAAGAUGAUGAGGAUGAAAACCUUUAUGAUGAUCCUUCUCCACUUAAUGAAUAAUAAAUAUAUUUUCUCUUCUUCAUGAUUUUCUUAAUAGCAUUU
rnacentral:lncRNA from 1 species